ensembl:snRNA U4 U4 spliceosomal RNA
AGCCUUGAGCAGUGGCAGUAUCAUAGCCAAUGAGGUUUAUCCGAGGCAUGAUUAUUGCUAAUUGAAAACUUUUCCCAAUACCCCACCAUGAUGCCUUGAAAAAUAGUCAGCAUUGGCAAUUUUUGACAGUCUCUACGGAGA